rnacentral:rRNA from 1 species
AACGCGAAGAACCUUACCUGGGCUUGAACUACUCGUGGUAGUUCGCUGGAAACAGUGGACGACCCGCAAGGGAGCGAGCAGAGGUGCUGCAUGGUUGUCGUCAGCUCGUGUCGUGAGAUGUUGGGUUAAGUCCCGCAACGAGCGCAACCCCUAUCCAAUGUUGCUAAUCCCGCAAGGGAUGCACUCUUUGGAAACUGCCUUCGAUAAGAAGGAGGAAGGUGGGGACGACGUCAAAUCCUCAUGGCCCUUAUGUCCAGGGCUACACACGUGUUACAAUGGCCGGUACAAUGGGAAGCAAUGCCGCAAGGUGGAGCCAAACCCACAAAGCCGGCCCCAGUUCAGAUUGUGGGCUGCAACUCGCCCACAUGAAGGCGGAAUCGCUAGUAAUCGCUGAUCAGCAGGCAGCGGUGAAUACGUUCCCGGGCCUUGUA